rnacentral:rRNA from 1 species
AUUGAACGCUGGCGGCAGGCCUAAUACAUGCAAGUCGAACGAGUGGCGGACGGGUGAGUAAUGUCUGGGAAACUGCCUGAUGGAGGGGGAUAACUACUGGAACCGGUAGCUAAUACCGCAUACCAUCGGAUGUGCCCAGAUUGGAUUAGCUAGUAGGUGGGGUAAAGGCUCACCUAGGCGACGAUCCCUAGCUGGUCUGAGAGGAUGACCGGCCACACUGGAACUGAGACACGGUCCAGACUCCUACGGGAGGCAGCAGUGGGGAAUAUUGCGCAAUGGGCGCAAGCCUGAUGCAGCAAUGCCGCGUGUAUGAAGAAGGCCUUCGGGUUGUAAAGUACUUUCAGCAGGGAGGCGGUACCCGCAGAGGAAGCACCGGCUAACUACGUGCCAGCAGCCGCGGUAAUUC